GACGAACGCUGGCGGCGUGCUUAACACAUGCAAGUCGAACGGAAAGGCCCUGCUUUUGUGGGGUGCUCGAGUGGCGAACGGGUGAGUAACACGUGAGUAACCUGCCCUUGACUUUGGGAUAACUUCAGGAAACUGGGGCUAAUACCGGAUAGGAUCUCCUGCUGCAUGGUGGGGGUUGGAAAGUUUCGGCGGUUGGGGAUGGACUGGCGGCUUAUCAGCUUGUUGGUGGGGUAGUGGCUUACCAAGGCUUGCACGGGUAGCCGGCCUGAGAGGGUGACCGGCCACACUGGGACUGAGAUAAGGCACAGCCUCCUAUGGGAGGCAGCAGUGGGGAAUAUUGCACAAUGGGCGGAAGCCUGAUGCAGCCAAGCAGCGUGCGGGAUGACGGCCUUCGGGUUGUAAACCGCUUUCGUCUUUGACGAAGUGUGAGUGACGGUAAUGGGUAAAGAAGCACCGGCUAACUACGUG
rnacentral:rRNA from 1 species